rnacentral:rRNA from 1 species
GAUGAACGCUGGCGGCGGGCCUAACACAUGCAAGUCGAACGAGUGGCGGACGGGUGAGUAAUGUCUGGGAAACUGCCCGAUGGAGGGGGAUAACUACUGGAAACGGUAGCUAAUACCGCAUACCAUCGGAUGUGCCCAGAUGGGAUUAGCUAGUAGGUGGGGUAACGGCUCACCUAGGCGACGCUCCCUAGCUGGUCUGAGAGGGUGACCAGGCACACUGGAACUGAGACACGGUCCAGACUCCUACGGGAGGCAGCAGUGGGAAAUAUUGCACAAUGGGCGCAAGCCUGAUGCAGCCAUGCCGCGUGUGUGAAGAAGGCCUUCGGGUUGUAAAGUACUGUCAGCGGGGAGGCGUUACCCGCAGAAGAAGCACCGGCUAACGCCGUGCCAGCAGCCGCGGUAAUUC